rnacentral:rRNA from 1 species
UACGAAGGGGGCUAGCGUUGUUCGGAAUCACUGGGCGUAAAGCGCUCGUAGGCGGAUCUUUAAGUCAGAGGUGAAAUCCCAAGGCUCAACCUUGGAACUGCCUUUGAUACUGGGGAUCUCGAGUCCGGGAGAGGUGAGUGGAACUGCGAGUGUAGAGGUGAAAAUUCGUAGAUAUUCGCAAGAACACCAGUGGCGAAGGCGGCUCACUGGCCCGGUACUGACGCUGAGGAGCGAAAGCGUGGGGAGCAAACAGG